GGUCCUCGACCGGAAGAGACCAAAGAUAUGGCAGACAGGAAAUUCCAGAACCCAUUUGAUAUUUUGUGGCAAAUGCUGAAGGAACUCCUGCAGACAAGACAAGUGAUGGAUCAAAAGGCUCUUCAGGAGGAGGAACACCCAGGGAGAAGCAGUGGCUCAUUGGCAGCCCCAGCUGCAGGAAGGAAGGCAAUGCCAGACACGGGCACAGGCACAGCAGACUGGGAUGCUGGGAAGGAUUCUCCAUUAGCCUGGCGCUCUGAAGUUGUGAAGCCGUCUCAGCAUUCUGCAGGCGUGUCUGCAGGGACGACUUCACCAACUCCUACCUUGGAUGCUGCACAAAAGCCCAGCUCCCAUGGCAGGGGU